rnacentral:rRNA from 1 species
AUGCCCAAAUCAGGAUAUGCAGGGAGGUCGGCCCUUGUGCAGGGUGAAAAUCAGCACCAUGACAGUGAAAGACAACCUCCUGGCGGCUGGUGGUUUCCAUGGGGAGCAGAUCUGCAAUGCAUCCCACCGCCGAUCCAUAUCCAGAUCAGCUGCGUCGCCGGUGCCGGUUCUACACAUAGGCCAGGGGAAAUGACUACCAUUCCAGGGUCUCCGGUCUGGGAGCUCGUGAAGAAGAACAACUACUUCUUGAUCAAGCAGUUCGGCAACAACACCAAGGUGCAGUUCAGCAAGGAGCCCAACAACCUCUACAAUGUCCACUCCUACAAGUUCUCGGGCUUGGCGAACAGCAAGACCGUGGCGGUCCAGCCAUCAGCGGGAGAGGACAAGGCUGUUGUCCUAUCCACGACCAAGACCAAGAAGCAGAACACCCCUGCCAAGCUCCAGCACAAGACUCUGAUGCGCAAGGAGUUCCACAAGAUGACCAAGUCUGUCAAGAACCAAGUAUUAACUCCAGAGUUUUGUACUUGA